CCAGUCUCAGGUAUCUCUUUAUCACCAGCAUGAAAAUGGACUCAUACAGUGACCUUAGAGGUACUAAGAGUAAACUGGAAACUUUGAAGAAGUUUAUCCAGGCAGGUUGCCUUCACAUUUUGGCCAGCUGCCUGGGAGCUUGAUGCCGUCUUUUGGAUUUAGCCCAAGAUUCUCAAACUUGUGAUCAAUUAUACUCCAAGGAAUCCAUAAAGGAAUUUUGCUUUAUUUAGUCAUUGCAUGGAGCAUGGUGCACUGGGAUAUGUUGACAGUCAUUUGAUGUGAUUGUGAGUUUGUUAUUGAUAUAAUUGGUGCAGCCAGAGAAAAGCAGCUAAAACUUCUGCAAAAUUGACUCAUAAUGUUGUAACACAUAAUAUGGGGGAAAAAGCAGAAUCACAGUAAUGACUGGGGACUUGUAGUUCCCAUGUGCUUGAAGAUGUGUGUGCUUGGGAUUUUGAUAAUUUACAAAGCUUUACGCCCUCAUCUCCCUGCUUUCCAGCCUUUUUAAGAUCUGAAAGGAAAUUUGCAAAUUGGCUUCUGAAAGCUACAACUGAUACAUCAGCAAAUCAGAGCUGGCCUUGGCGUGUGAAGUCCAAAUCCUGGGACCCAGACCUGGACCCCAGUGAUGGAAGGAGCACCACAUACCUGGAGACCAAAUAAUCCUUUUCAAAAGAGACACCCACUUCAGGGCAUCUCAGUUCACACCAGCUGCAAUUCAAGUGCUCAGGAGCCACACGUGACCUGUGACUGCCUUAUUGGACAGCGCAGGUCUGGAGUGCAUCUCUGGAUCUCAUGGAACAACAGAGCACCAUCACUGCCACCACCCAAAGUCCAAACCAAGGGGCCAGGCCCUCAGCGCUGCCUUCGAAACAUAACUGAACCAAAACUACCAUAAAUGUGGGUGGUGCCUGGGCCCAAAAGACCUAGUGGAUAGCACUUGCUGAAGCCUCCAUGGGGCAUUCUCAUCCCAGGAAUGACUGCUUGGGGAAAGACUGAGCCAGGGCCCCUAUCUAAACAGGCAUACCUGUUCCAUCAGGACCCUUGGUUGGCUUUUCCAGGUAAAUGAAUGUCCACAGGAGGGCACCUACAACAUCUUUAGUGCCAUUGUUGUUGAAUUAAAAAUGAAGUCCAAGGCUG